rnacentral:misc_RNA from 1 species
GAAAUGCGAUAAGUAAUGUGAAUUGCAGAAUUCAGUGAAUCAUUGAAUCUUUGAACGCACAUUGCGCCCGCCAGUAUUCUGGCGGGCAUGCCUGUUCGAGCGUCAUUUCAACCAUCAAGCCCCCGGCUUGUGUUGGGGACCUGCGGCUGCCCGCAGGCCCUGAAAAACAGUGGCGGGCUCGCUGUCACACCGAGCGUAGUAGCAUACAUUCUCGCUCAGGGCGUGCUGUGGGUUCCGGCCGUUAAACGACCUUCAUAACCCAAGGUUGACCUCGGAUCAGGUAGGAAGACCCGCUGAACUUAAGC